AUCGCUUCUCGGCCUUCUGGCUAAGAUCAAGUGUAGAUGCCUACAUUUUUUUUCUUGAGAUUUAAAUGAAAACUGGUUUCUGGCUUAAGUGUCUAAAAGAUAACAAGAUAUGGGAGGGUGGCUAAAGAUAAGUGUUUGUUUUACACUUUACUGUUCUAAUGCAAAAUUUGUAUAGAGAACCCAUA
rfam:Fukomys damarensis contig147918, whole genome shotgun sequence.